rnacentral:lncRNA from 1 species
GCCUGAGCCUGAGUCCAGCCGAGCCAAGCCUAGUGGAGAAGACCUGGGCCAAGCUGAUACUAUGAAGGACAGUUGAGCCCAGCAGUUGAAAUCAGGUGACACAACACAGACUGUUCCAGCUUUUGGGAGACCAAGAUGUUUAUUAUCAGCUUGGGGUCUCAGCCCUCUUGGCGCCAGAGAUGACCAGAUAACCCCCUGCCGGCCAGACCUGGGUUAUCUCAUCCAUAUGCACCAGCUGAGGUGUUGCCACAAGGGAUCAGGACAUCAUACUGACAUUCCUGAAGCCCUGCCUCUGAGUUUAUCACUGGAAUAAGGUACAAAGGAGCAUGGGGGAGCAUUUCCAUUACUAUAAAUUGAUUUUUUUUUUUUUUUUUUUUUGGUGAUUGCUCUAGUAAUGCUUAGCUGAAAGGAAGAUCAGUACCAAAGGCUGAAUGAACAGUUAUUUGUGCCUAUUAAUGACUUCCUGGGCUUAGGAACCUGUCUUAUGUCAAGACACUGCUGUGUCAGCUGAUGAGGAAACCCAUCAAAAAAAGAUGGUCUAUCCAAACUGACAGGUUAAGCAGGCUUGUUUGCUGACAGAGUAAACUGACCAGUUCAAGGUAUUAAAUUGAAAGGGAUGAAUCUGACAACGCUGAUCUGUGUGUGAGCAGGAGACUGGGACAUAUGCACAGGCCCAGCUCAGAGGGAGACGUCAGCCUUUACAAACCUCAAAGUCUAGGGAAGUAGGCUAUGCUUAGAAUGGAGUAGCUU